rnacentral:rRNA from 1 species
UACGAAGGGGGCUAGCGUUGCUCGGAAUGACUGGGCGUAAAGGGCGCGUAGGCGGAUGGCACAGUCAGAUGUGAAAUUCCCGGGCUUAACCUGGGGGCUGCAUUUGAUACGUGUUGUCUUGAGUUCGGAAGAGGGUCGUGGAAUUCCCAGUGUAGAGGUGAAAUUCGUAGAUAUUGGGAAGAACACCGGUGGCGAAGGCGGCCUGCUGGGCAGUAGCUGACGCUGAGGCGCGACAGCGUGGGGAGAAAACAGG